AAAGCAUACGAGAAAAAUGUGUAUACUCGACAAAUUAAUAUAGUUAUUCGAAUAAGCGUUACAUCAAAAAUAAGUUUUGCACAAAUAUCAAUUUUACUGAGCCGGGUGUGCCGGUUCAUAUGUAGUUGCUGGCUGCUGAUUGAGUAGUAUCGAUGAUUUGCUGGCCACGCAACGGUGCGCUUGCAGCGUAAUGGCAGAGGACAAUAUGAGAUACUGGCUGGUAGUAUAGGCUGCCGAAUGAUUAUUGGUCACGCAACAGGUGCGCUGAUAGCAUAUUGGCAGAGAACUAUAUUGCUGGCUGCUGAUUGAGUAGUACCAAUGUAAGCUGACAACGCAACAGGUGCGCUUGCAGUGUAAAUGGCAGAGGACAAUAUUACUGGCUGGUGGCAGUGACAGACGUGUAUAUGUGCACACAAUACACGAACAUUACAACAGUCACUUGCAGACAUGAAAGUGUGCCAAUGCACAUAUUGAUAGGUCAUGCCCUUUCUUUCUCUUAUUUGACACUCUCUCACUUAUUGUCUUUGUGUCCCGUUCAAUUAUCUCUCUGUUCAGCGGUGAACAGGUGAAGGGAAAGUGAGAGAGAAAUUAGUGAUGGCACUA